rnacentral:rRNA from 1 species
UACAGAGGGUGCGAGCGUUGUCCGGAAUCACUGGGCGUAAAGGGCGCGUAGGUGGUGGCUUAAGCGUGCGGUGAAAGCUCGGGGCUCAACCCCGAGUCGGCCGUGCGAACUGGGCUCACUGGAGCAUAGUAGAGGCAGGUGGAAUUCCGGGUGUAGCGGUGGAAUGCGUAGAGAUCCGGAAGAACACCGGUGGCGAAGGCGGAUCUCUGGGCCGAUACUGACGCUGAGGAGCGAAAGCGUGGGGAGCGAACAGG